rnacentral:rRNA from 1 species
UACGAAGGGGGCUAGCGUUGUUCGGAAUUACUGGGCGUAAAGCGCAUGCAGGCGGAUCGCUAAGUCAGGGGUGAAAGCCCGAGGCUCAACCUCGGAACUGCCUUUGAUACUGGCGAUCUUGAGUCCGGGAGAGGUGAGUGGAACUCCGAGUGUAGAGGUGAAAUUCGUAGAUAUUCGGAAGAACACCAGUGGCGAAGGCGGCUCACUGGCCCGGUACUGACGCUGAGAUGCGAAAGCGUGGGGAGCAAACAGGAUUAGAUACCCUGGUAGUCCACGCCGUAAACGAUGGGUGCUAGCCGUCAGCCAGCAUGCUGGUUGGUGGCGCAGCUAACGCAUUAAGCACCCCGCCUGGGGAGUACGAUCGCAAGAUUAAA